UACAGAGGUCCCAAGCGUUGUUCGGAUUCACUGGGCGUAAAGGGUGCGUAGGCGGUCGGGUAAGUCUGAUGUGAAAUCUCACAGCUUAACUGUGAAACUGCAUUGGAUACUAUUCGGCUUGAGAGUUGGAGGGGGGACUGGAAUUCUCGGUGUAGCAGUGAAAUGCGUAGAUAUCGAGAGGAACACCAGUGGCGAAGGCGAGUCCCUGGACAACUUCCGACGCUGAGGCACGAAAGCGUGGGGAGCAAACAGG
rnacentral:rRNA from 1 species